AUCUCUUGGAAAUCGUACGUUUUAUACUUGCGUGGAUACAGAGCACAAGGAGGAUACGUAGGGUCCAGCACGUUCUUCGCUGCAAGUAUAAACAAUCUCCUGCUGCAUGAAGAUGAUCCUCCAAUCAUGCAAUUUUGAUUGUUUACACCACUGCAGAGUUGUUUGGCCGAUGUUUGGUGCAUACGGUGAUGCAAGGGAGGCAGAUAUUUUUCUUCUCAAUUUUAAAGGUUGUUCCGAGGCAGUCCGAAAAAACGAGCGGUCAGACAAACGCUGAUUAUAUUUCUUUUCUCUCCCAGAGCCACGGUCCACUGCCACGUUUUCCGUCGGUUUAUGGUCGACACACAGAGGGUCUAAUGGGCCAAAAGACAUGAUGUGUUGCUGAUUAGUUUAAAGGAUGAUGCCAUGAAGAACCUGAGUCAAGCGUGAAGUAAACCAUUCUGGAACAGCAGUUACAUUUGAAACAUGGAAAUUUUUCGGCGAUGAAAACA